AUAAACAAUAGUGUGACUGGAGAAUAUUAAGCAAUGGAUGAGAAAAGAAUGAGAUAAAAUUAAGCAGACACGGUACCAAAAAUAGGUACUGCAUAUAUCAAGCAGAUGAAAGAAUCAUUGUUUUAUCCCUUAUGCUGGUCACUGUCUUCCUUUCCUCUGAGCAAGGAUCCUGGUGACAUUUUCCUUUCUUGCACGUGUGCGUGUUAAGGUGUUUCAGUCAUGUUGGACUCUGCAACCCUAUGGACUGCAGCCUGCAGGGUCCUCUGCCCAAGGGAUCCAGGGCCCAACACACCUACCCCAACAAAACCCGUCCUUAAAGCCUGAGAGGAAGGAAGAAGUAGAAAGCAGGUCUGGAGAAGCAUGGAAGAAAUCUACUAUAGGACUACCAACUUUGCUUCACUAAGUGUAUUGUAGUGUGAAUAGCUUUUCCCUCUACUGUUGUAUUUCUUGGUCACUUACUAAAACUUGCCCAUAACAAGUGUUUGCAGUAGAGA